ACGAACGCUGGCGGCGUGCUUCACACAUGCAGGUCGAACGGAAAGGCCCUGCUUUUGUGGGGUGCUCGAGUGGCGAACGGGUGAGUAACACGUGAGUAACCUGCCCUUGACUUUGGGAUAACUUCAGGAAACUGGGGCUAAUACCGGAUAGGAGCUCCUGCUGCAUGGUGGGGGUUGGAAAGUUUCGGCGGUUGGGGAUGGACUCGCGGCUUAUCAGCUUGUUGGUGGGGUAGUGGCUUACCAAGGCUUUGACGGGUAGCCGGCCUGAGAGGGUGACCGGCCACAUUGGGACUGAGGUACGGCCCAGACUCCUACGGGAGGCAGCAGUGGGGAAUAUUGCACAAUGGGCGGAAGCCUGAUGCAGCAACGCCGCGUGCGGGAUGACGGCCUUCGGGUUGUAAACCGCUUUCGCCUGUGACGAAGCGUGAGUGACGGUAAUGGGUAAAGAAGCACCGGCUAACUACGUG
rnacentral:rRNA from 1 species